rnacentral:rRNA from 1 species
UGAGGAAUAUUGCGCAAUGGAGGCAACUCUGACGCAGCCAUGCCGCGUGCAGGAAGAAGGCGCUACGCGUUGUAAACUGCUUUUAACCGGGAAGAAACCCUCCGACGUGUCGGAGGUUGACGGUACCGGAGGAAUAAGCACCGGCUAACUUCGUGCCAGCAGCCGCGGUAAUACGAAGGGUGCAAGCGUUAUCCGGAUUCAUUGGGUUUAAAGGGUGCGUAGGUGGGGCGAUAAGUCAGUGGUGAAAUCCUGCGGCUUAACCGUAGAAUUGCCAUUGAUACUGUCGCUCUUGAGUACGCUUGACGUGGGCGGAAUGUGCCGUGUAGCGGUGAAAUGCUUAGAUAUGGCACAGAACACCGAUAGUGAAGACAGCUCACGAAGGCGAAACUGACACUGAGGCACGAAAGCGUGGGGAUCGAACAG